AUGGACGAGGCCACGAAGAAUGCUGAACAGCAGAAGCAACCGGAGGAAGCCAGCAGACACAAGGAGGAGCAGGAAAAGCUAGCACCAGAACCAGAGGCGAAGAAGGAGCAAGAAGUGAAGCCUGAGGCUCCCCAGGCGGCAGCUCCGGCGGCACCCGAGAAGCCGGCGCCGGAGCCGGAGGUUGCCAUUGGCGAGAAGGACAAAGCGGUGGUUGGCCAGGAGAGCCUGGCAGCGGGUGUGAGACGGCGCAGCGAGGAAGAGAAAGCCAAGGUUGCGGCCGCUGCCAUGGAAGCCAAAGCGGUGCUGGAGAAGAAGGCCACGGCGUGCAGUGGGAAAAUAUCCUGUCGAGCUUAG
rnacentral:rRNA from 1 species